GACGAACGCUGGCGGCGUGCCUAAUACAUGCAAGUAGAACGCUGAAGGAGGAGCUUGCUUCUCUGGAUGAGUUGCGAACGGGUGAGUAACGCGUAGGUAACCUGCCUGGUAGCGGGGGAUAACUAUUGGCAACGAUAGCUAAUACCGCAUAAGAGUAGAUGUUGCAUGACAUUUGCUUAAAAGGUGCAAUUGCAUCACUACCAGAUGGACCUGCGUUGUAUUAGCUAGUUGGUGGGGUAACGGCUCACCAAGGCGACGAUACAUAGCCGACCUGAGAGGGGGAUCGGCCACACUGGGACUGAGACACGGCCCAGACUCCUACGGGAGGCAGCAGUAGGGAAUCUUCGGCAAUGGACGGAAGUCUGACCGAGCAACGCCGCGUGAGUGAAGAAGGUUUUCGGAUCGUAAAGCUCUGUUGUAAGAGAAGAACGAGUGUGAGAGUGGAAAGUUCACACUGUGACGGUAUCUUACCAGAAAGGGACGGCUAACUACGUG
rnacentral:rRNA from 1 species